rnacentral:lncRNA from 1 species
AUUCGCAAUGACGGUAUUUAGUGGUAUCAGAUGAAUUAUUUAAAAUAUUUUUUAGGGACCCACCAUUUGCUCUCUGACCAGUAACCUACUCCUAGAAAACAAGAGAAACCACAAAUCUUUGCGAAAUAUAAGUUAGCCACGAAAAACAUGAGUCUACACAAACUACCCCAUGCAUGCAUAUUCACAUGAUAUCACUCAAGAACAACAACCAGAAGAAGAAGAAAGAAGAAAAGAAAACACAAAAACAGAAAGGAGAAAUAAUGACGAUGAAAAGUUUGCAAUGUUCUUGGUUUUGAUAACCAUGAGUGUGGUGCUAAACCAUGU